GUUUGCUGUGCCUCAGUCUCUUGACUUCACAUCUCAGUUCCCCUGCCAGAUCCCUAUCCAACUAAACCACAGCUCAGAUGCCCCGCAUCUACAAAAUGCCUUAACUCACCACCCCAACAUCUGAGUGAGGGAAGAGCAUCCUCAGGGAGCCAGGAUCCCACAGGACGUCAGCCCACCACUGAGUCUUCCUCAGGACUCAGCAUCUCCACUGGCUGUCUGAGUUCACAAACCAGGACAGGGCUCUGUUUCCCAGGGCUGACCACGAUGUUAGCUGCGGAUCAGAGGAUGGAGAACUAGAGAAGAAAGAACCAUCUAAAAGGACGGCAGAAUCACAGGAGAGAUCGAGCAUGGGGCCACAGAGAAAGCCUCGGGGAUACUACCGACCACGGAGACACCAGUGAUGUACAAAGAUCUCACCGGAAACAGAUGACAUCCUUCUGGAUUAGAGUCUCAAGUACUAAAGUACUAAAGAGGAUUAAUUCUGAUAACACCACUUUCAGGAAGUUUGACAACGGAGGUCAGAGCAUACACACAUCACUGACAAAAAACGGAUUACAGUAGGGUGAGCACUAAACGUGAAUCGGCGACGGACUGGAGGUCAGAUGGACACCCAAGUGGGUCAGGCUUAGAGGGCAGAAAAAAAGCUUCUGGUCUCUGCUUAGGUGGCGCGGGAACAGGAGACCUUUUUGGCCUCGGGCCCUGCAGACAGCCUUGCCUGCUGCUUCUGUCCCAACAGGCUACUAAAGCCAGGUUUUCAGACGACCCCGCUACCAGCUGCCAGUCCUCGGCUGUCCUUGGCUAUCUUCGGCUUUCCUCAGCCAAAAGACCCCUGAGCAGGAACACGCUCAUCUGUGUGAUGGACCGGAAGGCAGGUUCAUCAGGGUUCUCCAGGGUUGGAUGAAAGUAAUCUUGCUUCUGCAUGAAUGUGCACACACAAACACACACGCACACGCACACACACACACACAUAUACCUACACACACACACACCUACACACAAAUAAGAGGCAUUCCAACCCAUAUUCUUAUGAAGUAUAAGAAGUAAUAAUAAUUACCCAGAAACGCAAAAAUGAGAAAAUUACUGAAUCUGUACUUCACACUGACCACAUCUGGAGGCGACAUACUCUGAAAUCAUAUUUGAUAUCGGCCCUACCUACAAGCCACUGCGCCCUGCAAGAAACUGACUGGGUUACUACAAGACAGGCUGUGUACACAGCGUGGAUGUGGACACAGUAUGAGCUGGAGGGAGCUGGAGGGCCUGAGAUUUUUAUCACUGAACUCAAAAUGACAAACGAUUUAAACGUGCAAGCUAAUUUCUAGAAUUUCCCCUUUGAUGGUUUUGAAUUGUGGUUGACUGAAAUACCCAUCAUUAAAAUUGCAGAUAAGGAGACUGCUGUAUGUCUAGCAAAUUUUGAGGCACUCUGUUGUUUAAGGGAGGUGGUCUAGUGAGCUGGCUUGUUGCUGUAAGAAGCUGGCAGAUAAACUCCGCUGCUCUGCUGCCCACAAGCAGACCUCAGCAUCCUUCUAGAGUCAUCUAACACUAUUUCCUCCAUCAUAUGAAGACUCUUUCUUUACCUUUCAGGACAGCACAUGAUGGUUUACUCCUGGAUUAGCCAGCUGCUCUUUACAGCCCGUUUCACUGGGUUCCUUCUUGGUCUUAAGCCCAGGAUUUUGGGAUAUAUGUAUGAAUAAGGGAAUUUAUAUAUGAAUUGUAAGUCAAAAUGGCUAGCGUGAAACCC
rnacentral:lncRNA from 1 species